ACAUACAUAUAUACACAAUUUCACAUACAUGAAAUUUGAUUUAUGAACUGAUAUAAAGCAAUAAUUUCUUUUUGUAACACGUUUAGAGUGUAAUUGUUUGCGAAAGAAAUUGAUAAAAUAAAUCGAAUAAAAUAAAGUCUCAUUGUGAUAAGCGAGUCAUGUAUCUAACUUACUGAAAUGCAAACAGAAUAAAAAAUCCGCGUUGGAUUUGGAGAGCAAAAAUGUGAUUUGUUAUAUUUCAUUAUAAUUAUUAAAUAAACAUUUGUGAUUUAUGUAAUUUCGUAUCUGCAUUAAGAUUAUCAUACAAAAUAAUCGAUUUAAUUAAAAAAUAGAAUCAAUUUUGCUCAACCAGUAUUACCAGAUUUCUGCACAAUAUUUCUCUUCAUUUUUUUUAAAUAUAAAACAGUAGCGGAUAAUCCUUUCUUUUUCUCUAGAAGUAAAACGAGAGAGAGAAAGAGAAAGGAAGAAAUGCGAACAAUCGUUCUGUCGCGAGAGAACGCAGUCUAAAGUUAAUAUCACUAUCAUCUAUAUCAUAUGAAGAAUUUUUCUAAAAUAAUGAUGCUUUUGUAUUCGGCGUGAAUGGUGCGACGAGAUAGUCCAAUAAUGUUCAAAAAGUAUAAUAUAUUAUCAGCUCACACACGAAUGGAUAUGUAGGUUACCGUUUCAUCAUAUAUGCGAUGUUGCAUAACAUUAGUGGAGCUUUCGAAGCGUACUGUAGCUCUCAGGUGCAAAUAUAUUGUUAUUUAAUGACGUACAUGUAUAUGUAUAAGCUUUGGUUUAUAAUAAAUAUUUCCACUUGUACUUGACGGUUUCUUCAAUAUAUUCUUCAAUUGACGCAAAAUCGCAAAAACAAUAAGUUUUAUAAUUUAUAAUGUAAGUGAAACCGGAAUGUAAAAUUUCAUCCGGAAGAAUAUUCACGUGCUCUAUUAAAUGGAGAAAGUAAUCCGCGGGGUUAAUGAUGCUAUUUCUGUGACUGGAUAUGCAAAUAAGGUUCGAGUACAUUGAGCUCACAAAUGGUUUAAGUUAUUUGUGUCGUUAAAAGUGUGAUUAUAAACAGCCAUGAUGAACCAGAUAUAGAAUAUUAACAAUAUGCAGUAGCGGCUACGCUAGACUGUUCAAUGACAGCAGCUUGAAUACAAUAGAAAGAAAUAAAGCUGCUAAAAUUAGACACGUUACAUUAUUCUUUUAUGAAACAUGCCGUUUAUAAAAUAGUAUUGGAAAACGAUGAUAACUACAAAUAUCCAAAAAUGAAGUUUUCGAUACUCUCUCUUUAUCCAUCACAUUGGUAUAAGUAUAAGCGAUUAAUUUAAACGAAAUUGGACGGAAUUAGCAUGGAUAUAUACCACCAAUCAUGAUAUAGAUAAACGGAGAUGUGACUACGUAGUAGUCAUUUAAUAAAAUUGACGCAAGAUGUCGCGACAACCAUGAUAUUGCAAUUUUCGCGGCAUUUUUACGACAUUUUCGCGGGCUAUUCGCUAUGGCGGACAGUGUAGCUAGAAUCUUGUGUGAGAAGGUGUUUGCAUCCCGAGCAAUCACCAAACAUCACUGAUGGAGAAGCUUUAUAUUGCUCACGUCUCAUUUCUGGCAUCACUGCUCCAGUCCGUGGAAUUCGUGUUGAUCGUGCAACAAGUAUUGCGUACCGUUGCGUUUUUCGCGUACGUUUGGUAUCGAUAAACAGCUGCGUCUGUUGAUAGUGUGGUGUGUUGCUUCUUAUGUGUUGGACGUAUCUCGGAAUUUCGGAAAAGAAUUUGCAACUCCAGACACAUGGGCGCUGUUAAUAAUUUUUCUUUCGGGUUUAAUUUUUAACUCACAAUUUAUAGAUUAGCACGGAUAUACAUCUCAAACUGUAAUAUCGAUAAACGAAUGUGACUACGUACUAGUCACUUGAUAAAGUUGACGCAAGAUGUCGCCACAACUAUGAUAUUGCGAUUUUCGCGGGUUAUUCAUUAUGGCGGAUAAUGUAACUAGAAUGCAGACGUCUCUUGCGCAAGAGGCGUCUGCAUUCUGGCAUCAUUAAUGGCGGAGGCGAGUCUCUUCGAUCCGUGGAGUUCGUGUUGAUCGUGCAACAGGUGUUGCGUACCGUUGUGUUUUUCGCGUACGUUUGGUGUCGAUAAGCAGUCGCGUCUGCUGAUAGUGCGGUGUGCGUGUGUUGCUUCUUGUGUGUUCGACGUAUCUCAGAGUUUCGGAGAAGGAUCGACAACUGCAGACACAUGGGCGCCGAGAAUUUUUCUUCCGGGUCCCUCGUCUUCGCGGGAAAGAAGUGUGAUUGCGCGCCGCGUAGGAUUCAAGUUUUCUGGUGAUGUUGCGUAUUCAAAAUGUUAAGAUAAGAACGUGAAUAUCUGAUAAAUUUUUUGCAAGUGACAUACGUGAAGCAUGUAUAUGUUU